rnacentral:rRNA from 1 species
CUGGAGGUAUCAGAAGUGCGAAUGCUGACAUAAGUAACGAUAAAGCGGGUGAAAAGCCCGCUCGCCGGAAGACCAAGGGUUCCUGUCCAACGUUAAUCGGGGCAGGGUGAGUCGACCCCUAAGGCGAGGCCGAAAGGCGUAGUCGAUGGGAAACGGGUUAAUAUUCCCGUACUUGGUGUUACUGCGAAGGGGGGACGGAGAAGGCUAUGUUGGCCGGGCGACGGUUGUCCCGGUUUAAGCGUGUAGGUGUGUGUUCCAGGUAAAUCCGGUUCACUUUAACACUGAGGCGUGAUGACGAGGCACUACGGUGCUGAAGCAACAAAUGCCCUGCUUCCAGGAAAAGCCUCUAAGCAUCAGGUAACAUCAAAUCGUACCCCAAACCGACACAGGUGGUCAGGUAGAGAAUACCAAGGCGCUUGAGAGAACUCGGGUGAAGGAACUAGGCAAAAUGGUGCCGUAACUUCGGGAGAAGGCACGCUGACACGUAGGUGAAGUGAUUUACUCACGGAGCUGAAGUCAGUCGAAGAUACCAGCUGGCUGCAACUGUUUAUUAAAAACACAGCACUGUGCAAACACGAAAGUGGACGUAUACGGUGUGACGCCUGCCCGGUGCCGGAAGGUUAAUUGAUGGGGUCAGCGCAAGCGAAGCUCCUGAUCGAAGCCCCGGUAAACGGCGGCCGUAACUAUAACGGUCCUAAGGUAGCGAAAUUCCUUGUCGGGUAAGUUCCGACCUGCACGAAUGGCGUAAUGAUGGCCAGGCUGUCUCCACCCGAGACUCAGUGAAAUUGAACUCGCUGUGAAGAUGCAGUGUACCCGCGGCAAGACGGAAAGACCCCGUGAACCUUUACUAUAGCUUGACACUGAACAUUGAGCCUUGAUGUGUAGGAUAGGUGGGAGGCUUUGAAGCGUGGACGCCAGUCUGCGUGGAGCCGACCUUGAAAUACCACCCUUUAAUGUUUGAUGUUCUAACGUGGACCCGUGAUCCGGGUUGCGGACAGUGUCUGGUGGGUAGUUUGACUGGGGCGGUCUCCUCCUAAAGAGUAACGGAGGAGCACGAAGGUUGGCUAAUCCUGGUCGGACAUCAGGAGGUUAGUGCAAUGGCAUAAGCCAGCUUGACUGCGAGCGUGACGGCGCGAGCAGGUGCGAAAGCAGGUCAUAGUGAUCCGGUGGUUCUGAAUGGAAGGGCCAUCGCUCAACGGAUAAAAGGUACUCCGGGGAUAACAGGCUGAUACCGCCCAAGAGUUCAUAUCGACGGCGGUGUUUGGCACCUCGAUGUCGGCUCAUCACAUCCUGGGGCUGAAGUAGGUCCCAAGGGUAUGGCUGUUCGCCAUUUAAAGUGGUACGCGAGCUGGGUUUAGAACGUCGUGAGACAGUUCGGUCCCUAUCUGCCGUGGGCGCUGGAGAACUGAGGGGGGCUGCUCCUAGUACGAGAGGACCGGAGUGGACGCAUCACUGGUGUUCGGGUUGUCAUGCCAAUGGCACUGCCCGGUAGCUAAAUGCGGAAGAGAUAAGUGCUGAAAGCAU